CAUGAUUAAAAUUGAUAAAGUUGGUGAUUUACCUAUUUGAAGUAGAUCUGCAAUACUCCUCUGUGUUUCUCCAACAUAGCAUGAUGGUUACCACUAGGCGCAUCAUAGCCACCUAUGACGCUGGACGAGCUGCUGCGCAAGGCACAUAGAUAUAAGUGAUUGCACGGGAGUUCUGAUGUUAUCCCAACUUUCAACAACUAAAAUGUUAAUGAAAAUGACUUUAAAUCCAGAUACAACUUUCUGCAAUUAUGUUCAUUAAGGUAUCAACUAGUGUAUUUUCCAUUCUGGGCCCAAUUGAACAUGGUCAACUAGUAUGCAGAACAAAACAGUGACAAAGGGUCAAUUUUCAAUACAUUUGAAACGAAUAUCCCAUACAAACUUCUAAUUGAAUGCGCCAGCUGGUGACGCAAUCAAUUGAGAUGAAAUUUUGAGAGAACUUUUUUCUUACCCUAAGGUACAUAUCUAGAGGGUGCCCCGUUUAGUUUUACAACUUUUUUGUUUUAGGGCCAGUCUAGUGCAUUGGUUCACUAAUGUGACGAUUGAACGGUGCCAAAUUCACUCGUUGCCUCCAUGUCUCACAUGAGUUCUACAAAUGACAUAAGCAAGAAACAUACAAUUUUUGCUUAAAAUGGCAUCGCCGAAAACGAUUCCGCUGUUAAAAUUUACGUGAGUAUUUUCAGUUCAGUGAAAUUGUCGACUUAUUAUGAAAAAUGCAGAAUUUUAUAAAGUAGCCUUCAUUUUAUUCAUGUUCAAUUCAUUACAAAAACUUAUAUUAUUUUUUUCCAUAAUGCUUUACAUAUAGCUCUUAUUUAGAAUUCAGAUAGAUAGAGUUCCUUAUGAAAAUCACAUAACAUUCGUAUGAAACUAAAGUACAUUAUAAUUGUUCCUUUGAUAAUAAUGAACAGGUUUUCAAUUGGCAUUUGCUACAUGAUUGAUUAUUCAAAAUUAAAUUUCAAAAAUAAUAAAAGCGAUUAACCUGUAAAUUUUAUUUUUU